UACGUAGGGCGCAAGCGUUAUCCGGAAUUAUUGGGCGUAAAGAGCUCGUAGGCGGUUUGUCGCGUCUGCCGUGAAAGUCCGGGGCUCAACUCCGGAUCUGCGGUGGGUUCGGGCAGACUAGAGUGAUGUAGGGGAGACUGGAAUUCCUGGUGUAGCGGUGAAAUGCGCAGAUAUCAGGAGGAACACCGAUGGCGAAGGCGGUUCUCUGGGCCUUACCUGACACUGAGGAGCGAAAGCGUGGGGAGCGAACAGG
rnacentral:rRNA from 1 species